rnacentral:lncRNA from 1 species
CCCCCUUAAAAAUAAUCUCGUCCUCGAGAUUGUGUGGUGCUUACUCAAACAAUUGUGGAUACGACUUUCUCAAAUCCUCUUCUCUUUCCCAGGUGGCUUCAUCUUCGGUAUAACGGUUCCACUAUACUUUACACAUCUUUAUGGUUCUGCUUCUUGUAACUUUGUCUGCAGUUUCCAAGAUCUUUAUCGGGUACUCUUCAUAUGUG